rnacentral:rRNA from 1 species
AUUCCUAGUGUAGCGGUGAAAUGCGUAGAUAUUAGGAAGAACACCAGUGGCGAAGGCGACUUUCUGGACGAAAACUGACGCUGAGGCGCGAAAGCCAGGGGAGCGAACGGGAUUAGAUACCCCGGUAGUCCUGGCCGUAAACGAUGGGUACUAGGUGUAGGAGGUAUCGACCCCUUCUGUGCCGGAGUUAACGCAAUAAGUACCCCGCCUGGGGAGUACGACCGCAAGGUUGAAACUCAAAGGAAUUGACGGGGGCCCGCACAAGCGGUGGAGUAUGUGGUUUAAUUCGACGCAACGCGAAGA